GCUACAUUUGAUGUAGUGUUUUCUUCUGUAGUCUCUGCUUCCCCCAAUGAGACUGAGAUGGAGGCAGACGGUAAAGUGACCCUCCACUGCAUCCUGUACACACAAGACAACUGUGGAGGAUCAGAGGCAGAUGAAGGAGUUAGUCUGAGCUGGGUGGAUGAGGGAGGGAAAGAGCUACAGAACGAUAACAAUCGCCAGAUCAGAACCACACCUCCCUGUUCCAUCACACUGACUGAGGAGCUCAGAGGUCCAAACCCUGUUCAUACUCGGACAUGCCAGCUGACUGCAGGAGGGCAGGUUCAGACUUCUGUCUCCCACACCAUCAGAGUGAAAGAAUGAAACUGUCACCACUGCUUCCUCAAACUCAGGCCCAUCAGCAACAAAGUCCUCUCCUCCACCGACAGACUCAGGAACACCAGUUCCCCAAGGUGUCCUUCUGGUUGCUGGAGUUGUUGUCUCUGUCAGUCUGUUGGCUGCUGCAUUGAUGACAAUUGUGGUGAUAUGCAAGAGAAGGACAAAUGCUGGAGGAGAGCCAAGACACAAAUCAACUCAAAACAGGACCAGUGCCGUAGUCAUGCAGUCUGUUCAGCCAUCAAACUCCUCAGCUAAUGAGGAGGAAGGAGCUGAUCUGCACUAUGCAACCUUUCAGCACCUCAACCAAACACAAGCUGGGCCUUCUGCA